CUAGAGACCGGCGCACGGGUGCGUUAACGCGUAUGCAAUCUGCCUUUCAACAAAGGGAUAGCCCAGAGUAAUUGGAUUAAUACCUUAUAGUAAUACGACUUGGCAUCAAGAUGUAUUUAAAGAUUUAUCGGUGAAAGAUGAGCAUGCGUCCCAUUAGCUUGUUGGUAAGGUAACGGCUUACCAAGGCAACGAUGGGUAGGGGUCCUGAGAGGGAGAUCCCCCCACACUGGUACUGAGACACGGACCAGACUCCUACGGGAGGCAGCAGUGAGGAAUAUUGGACAAUGGGCGCAAGCCUGAUCCAGCCAUGCCGCGUGCAGGAUGACGGUCCUAUGGAUUGUAAACUGCUUUUGUACAGGAAGAAACCCUUUCACGUGUGGAAGAUUGACGGUACUGUAAGAAUAAGGAUCGGCUAACUCCGUG
rnacentral:rRNA from 1 species